GAAAUGCGAUAAGUAAUGUGAAUUGCAGAAUUCAGUGAAUCAUCGAAUCUUUGAACGCACCUUGCGCCCCUUGGUAUUCCUUGGAGCAUGCCUGUUUGAGUAUCAUGAAAUCUUCAAAGUAAAUCUUUUGUUAACUCAAUUGGUUUCUACUUUGGUAUUGGAGGUCUUUGCAGCUUCACACCUGCUCCUCUUUGUUCAUUAGCUGGAUCUCAGUGUUAUGCUUGGUUCCACUCGGCGUGAUAAGUUAUCUAUCGCUGAGGACUCUGUAAAAGGUGGCCAAGGUAAAUGCAGAUGAACCGCUUCUAAUAGUCCAUUGACUUGGACAAUACUUUUAUGAUCUGAUCUCAAAUCAGGUAGGACUUCCCGCUGAACUUAAGC
rnacentral:misc_RNA from 1 species